UACGUAGGAUGCAAGCGUUUGUCCGGAAUUAUUGGGCGUAAAGAGCGCGCAGGCGGUAACUCAAGUCAGAUGUGAAAUAUCCGGGCUUAACCCGGAGGGGUCAUUUGAAACUGAGUAACUAGAGUACAGCAGAGGAUAGCGGAAUUCCCGGUGUAGUGGUGAAAUGCGUAGAUAUCGGGAGGAACACCUGUGGCGAAAGCGGCUCACUGGACCACAACUGACGCUGAGGCGCGAAAGCUAGGGGGAGCAAACAGG
rnacentral:rRNA from 1 species